CACAAAUGAAGCGACCUUGACUACCUUUACCUGCAGUGCAAGCAUACUUAUAAUGUUGUCGUUGCAUUGGAAAACAAAUGGCCUGAGAAUAAUCCCCAUCAUUCACCAUGAGAUCUCCCAUCAAACAACCAAUAACAUCACUAGCUGUUGCUAUGGGGACAGCCCCUCGGAUAAUGACCACUUCCAUCGCAGGCGAGAUAAGUGUAUGCAGGGGAGUCCACCAAGCCUGAUUGUGGCCAUCCAGUAGACUAGAGGGAGCCUAUGAUAUUCAAGAAGGACUCAGUGGCACCAGUGGCACCAGACAGAAUAAAAUUAAGAUGCAUACAAUUUAUUAAUUUUAGUUUUGUGCAUGUAUACAUAAUUAUGUAUGUGACUCGUGAAUUCCAUUCGUACACAUACUGUCUGCCUAUCAUAUUUCAUGCUGAGACAUAACAUGAAAACGGCUCUGUUUUGUGUUUAGUUCUGAUUAUGGAAUGUCAGUGUGGGAAUGAGUCGAUGUACUGUACCCACAAACCAAACAAUUCUUGAGAUUGGCUUCAAUUAAC